UCCGGAGGAUCCAAGCGUUAUCCGGAAUCAUUGGGUUUAAAGGGUCCGUAGGCGGUUUUGUAAGUCAGUGGUGAAAGCCCAUCGCUCAACGGUGGAACGGCCAUUGAUACUGCAAGACUUGAAUUACUAGGAAGUAACUAGAAUAUGUAGUGUAGCGGUGAAAUGCUUAGAUAUUACAUGGAAUACCAAUUGCGAAGGCAGGUUACUACUAGUGGAUUGACGCUGAUGGACGAAAGCGUGGGGAGCGAACAGG
rnacentral:rRNA from 1 species